rnacentral:misc_RNA from 1 species
AAGUCGUAACAAGGUUUCCGUAGGUGAACCUGCGGAAGGAUCAUUAUUGAAUAAACUUGGUCAAGCUGUUGCUGGUCCCUCGGGGCAUGUGCACGCUUGCCACCAAUUUUAACCACCUGUGCACCUUUUGUAGAUUGGAAACGUUUCUCGAGGCAACUCGGAUUGAGGACUGCUGUGCGCAAGCCGGCUGUUCUUGUGUUUCUCAAUCUAUGUUUUCAUAUACUCCAAAUGUAUGUAUCAGAAUGUAUUGUUAGGCCUCUGUGCCUUUAAAUCAAAUACAACUUUCAACAACGGAUCUCUUGGCUCUC